CCAACUCGGUCGCCUGCUUGUUGCGCCUCCCAACGGAACAGCGCUGCGGGGAUCGCCGACGCACAGUUUGACCUCCCACGGCCUGAUGAUUGACGCUAAUCCUCCUUUCCGGCGUUGAUGGACCCCCGCUUCCUCCUUCCAUCUCCGUUCGAGGCCCGCCAAUCUCGCGUGCCCUGUACACGGCGCGGUCGCACUGCACUUGCGAUCCGAGCCGUCGGCGAAGUUUGAUGAUGGCGAUGGAUCAGAAGAGAUAUCCGUGGAGUAUGGUGUACAACAGGUACCGCUGAUUUCAUCUUCAAAUGGUGCAUGCCUUAGCCUGUAUGUUCGAUCUAGAGACCAAUUCUCGAAUAAUGCAUCUGUGCAAGAGUUUUAUUUGCAAAUUAAGGAGAUAGUAUGACACAUAAAGAAUUGUUUAUUGGCUUUGAUCGAAUUAUUUUAAAUUUUGAUCUAAAGCUUAUUUAAAGUUCUCACAUUUUGGUUGAUCGCCUUGCCGUUGGAUGUCAUGUCGCAGUUGUCACAAAGAACCACCGAGAGAUUGCUCAUGAUGCUGAAACUCCCCAGCCUGUCAAGUUUGGUAUUACCGGUGCUGAAUCUGCACAUGCAAAUUAGGGGAAGUGCCUCGUGCGAGUCGCUCUACCGAACUGAGCUAUAGCCCUUAUCAGGGAUAUCUUAACAUAUAGAUAAUUUCUUGUCAAGAUGAAUAUUCUCUAAUGCCAGAGGAUAUCCCUUUGAUCUGUAUCUGUUUAGUAUAUAACAGACAAAUAACGGAGCGGUAUUGCUUAGAAAAGUGAUUCAAUAUAUAAUCGCUGUUUUGCAUUUUUCAACUUGAUUUGCUCCUGUGAUCAGCGCCAUCAUCUGAAUAGAAAUUCAUUAUCUUUUUCUACGUCCUUGCUUCUUCACAACCUCGCACUGUAUAUUCAGCUGUGUUGGAAUGGUCAUCGUGAUUCUAUUGCAGGAGAAGUGAAGAGCUCUUCGGGACAUGAUAAAGGUGCAAUGCCAAAAUCCAUGCAUUUUCUUCAAAACUUUGAACUGCAUUUCUGAUUACUACUUUUUAGCAUCAGUUAUUUUGCAUCGGGUCACUUGCAUAGGUGAAGUAGCAUAAAAAUAUUUGGCACUCACUUGUUGAACUUGGCUGAUCAAACUGGCUGGAUGUUGUGCUUUUAUUUUAUUUCUUUUUUUUCGAUAAAGUUUUAUUUUUUUAUUUUAUUUCUUCAUAUCCUCACCUCUAAUCAAACUGAAGGUGGCAGGACUUCUGGGGUGAAGCCGUGCUUGUUAUGUAGAUCAGUAGAUGGAAAAUUUGGAUGAGGAGGAGUGGCGACUUAACUGAGUCCACACAGCAGCCAGUGAACCUGAUGCAAGUAUCAAGCUACAUAUGAUGCUCUAAGUCCAUCGGUAUAACAUAACUGUGUGUUACGUAAUUUCCGCAACCAAACAAUACAUGGAUGCAUACCCGGAGAUAUUCCUUCACGAGGUUGCAAUGGGCUAUCAAGAGUUCAAGACUAUGACAAAUUACAACACUGACAGUUCAGGCAAGAACACUCGCAUGUUUAGUGCAAUUCUAUGUUUUUGGAAGAGGCUGUCUGGCAAGCUGAACAACUUGAUGAGGGGGGCGUACUAUUGUUCCUGAUAGGAUUUUGUUGUGCCAAGGAAUUUACUACUACCUUCAUUGGACAACUUGAUUAUUGGGACAUACUAUCAGGCGGCCUUGCCAUUGCGAGCGUCGAGCUUAUCACUGCUCUCAUGUACAUGGCUGCAUUUGCAUUUCUUGGUAGAAUGAAGAACACGGUUGCCAUGUUCAAUUACUGGAAAGCUGGGCUCACUCUCGUACUAUUCUUGGAUACAUUCAAAUAUGAAAAGGAUUAAUUCGUCGAAUCACGUAAUACAUUCAAGUUUGAGAUUAAUAUAUUUACAGGAAUCUUGUAUCGUUUGCUGCACACUUUAGUACUCUUUCAUCUGCCAAUGCUAUUCCAUUCUACAGAAGCAUCAGGUAGUGCAUAACAUCAUAUUGUCACAGUGAUACCACACCAUGAUUAUAUAUCAUUAUGCUGAAAAAGAAGGUAGGAGAUUUGCAGCUUGAUGAUUCCACUGAUGAAGAUUAGUCACUAGGUAUUAGAAAUUAGUCAGGUAAGCACUUCGUAGAAGUUUUAGUACUGUUCUUUUGUGCAGAACAUUUAUGGCUAGAGAUUCUUGAAGCACUUUGUAUGUUCAAAUCAGAUGCUAUCAAUUUUCACACUAAAUACUACUGGUUUUUUUGACAGAAUCAAAGUGUUAUUCAAAAUCAGAAGCCAGGGUGUGUGUCGUGCAUGGGAGGUCUCUGAGAUUCUAGGUGGGCUGUUGGUGCGGGCGAAGGCCUCUUGUUCCCUGAGCCAGGACGGCGCCGUGGUC